GGGAAAUCCAGAUCAGCUCAGCACUGGCAUAAUAAGUACUUUAUUAAUCCCAGUUAAAUAGCAAAUGACGUGGUUUCCGAAAGGGGUGUGCUUAUUCGAUGCAGUCCUUAUGAGCUAAAAAAGAAUGCUUAUUCAAUCACACUUGACUGUUACAUCGGAUAAAGAUUAAAGUCUGAUUUCUGCUCCUACCCAUACAAUCUGCAGACUUUUCCCGCACAGGUGCAAACCGUAGAUUCUAAAGUGCUGCUACUGCUGCAAACAGAGAGGGGGCACUGCUCUUCAGCAUUAAACCCUGACGCAGGGCGCAUAUGGAAAACAUCUGAGAUAUCAACUAAUACAAGACAGCUCUCUUCUGCAAUUUGGGAUUUACUCCUCUGCUAUAGUGAUGCACACAUGAAGAGGUCCAGAGAUAGUAAAUUACGUCAUUUGUGGAAAAGAAAACAACACUGGAGGAUUCUGUGUAGCAGUGUAAUGUAGAUCAAGUCUGCUGUUUUGCUUUCAGAACUGAAAAUUUUCACCAGGCUGUUGUAAUAGUCACAUACAAUUCCUUAAUCCAGAGCAGAAGCCAGACAAAAAAUCCUGAGACACAGUAGCUAUGGAAGAAGUGUUAGAGUGUGUGUUCUCACUCCUUUCAAUUAUGUUUUCAGUUGUAUUUAGUAAUUUAUCAUUUUUAAUAACAUUAAUUUUUAAAUUGCUGUUUUUCUUGCUUCAGUUCACCUCCAGUAAUGUAACAACUACAAUUUCAUUCGUAGUGAAUAUCAUUAUUGAACUUUUGGUGACUGUGAGUGCAGAUGUGUUGUUACGUCUGAUCAAAGGUUUCAUGAAACUGUUUCUCUUCUUAAUUACUGUUAUAUUUCAGUUUAUUGCAAGUAUGUUUCAACACAUUUUAAGAUAGCUGAAGCAGAUUAAUUGACAUUUACCACAUCUCCCAACUAAUACUGCCUUUAAGGAUGUUUGCCAAUAAUAAAACUAUACCAGGAUAUUACCUAUUUAAUAAAAUGCAUUUGUAAUAUUAUAUAGCCUAUCAUCAUAUAAAUGACCUUUAUUAUCAGGUCUGAGUUUCCUUGCCAUUACUUUGUUAUGACAGCAUUAGAUCAUUUAACGCUUGAGAUUCUACUUUAAAGACCUAUCCUUGGUAAAUAACUGCAUAACGAUUAAAUAACAGAAAAUGCAUUGGUUAGGCUCUUUAGUAUGGUGUUUUAUCAUGCGAAUUAAAAAAUAGUAUUAAUUUUAAUAUUCAUGAAAAUAUUAAAGGACAUUUGAGGUUACUGUGAUGGUUUGCAUUUAUCAUCGUAUAACACCUGUUUCUAUUUUUUAAAUAUGUUCUAGUUUUUAAACUGAAUAAAUCUGUAAUUAGUGUACUGACAGGAAUAACAUUUUUGAAUGUUGUUAUUCAUAUGAUUGUGAAAUGUGCCAAAUAAGUGGGGAUUUCCCCCUUAAACAUUUUGUAACAAUAAAAUAAACAUUCUUGUUUUGUAUGAACAAUUAA